ACAAUGGGGUGGUUCCAUGGCCCAGAAGCACUCUAGCUACAGAUUAGUUUAUUUCAGGACUAUAUUAAGUUUCCCAACUUCUGUCAUGAUAUAGUCCAAAGAGAACCUGGACCACGCAGACAUCAAACAGAACAUGACACUGACCCAUUCUAUCAGUGACGUUGUGCUGAUUGCACAGGACAGAUGAGAGGCUCGUAUACUAGAAGUCUUGUUAUCCACAGAAGGAAUGAUCUGCAAUGUACACACGCCAGGACAGAAAUUCUACAGUUGCUGAUAAAAUGUAAACCUCUUUCUCCAGAAUUGGGAAAUCCCUCAACCUGGCAAAAGUAUAGCUCAAAUGUGCCUCAGCUACCAUUUCCUGGUGGCAGUCCUCAACCAAUGGGUGCCGGGAAUUGGUGAACAACGCCCCAGCCCCCCAGCCUCCAGAGAAACAAUUCUAAGUGACAUGGAUGAUGAUAACCAGUCUAUGCCCACAGUGAUUAUCAGCUCAGCAAUGUACCCUUUACUGGCUUUUCUCCUUCCAUAUGUCACUAUUCCUGCUCCCUCACUCCUGCUUCCUGGAAUUACCUUCCCAGAAAAACUUCAUUCAGGUAAGCCAUAGUCCUAGGCUCUACUUGAGGGUAGGGGAAUCCAAACUAAAGUAAGUGUCUGUAGGACUUCAAAGUAAAGAUCCAAGUUAGACUUUCAGGAGAAGAGAUUUGGGGUAGAACUAUAAACUUACGUUUUCUUCCUAAUGGGAGCUGACAACACAGAAGUAGAUGAAAUUUUCCAGUAAUAGAAGAAAGGGGUCUAUGAGGAACCAUGAGGAACAACAACAUUUCUGGCACAGGCAGAAGAAGAGUCAAGGAGACAGAAACGACAAGAGAGGUAGAAGAACAAAGAAAGUUUGCAACAUGGAAAGCCAGGGAGGAGGAAGUUUCAAGAAAGAGUAGGUGAAUCUAUCCCAGCAGCAGCCAGGGUGGGCCUCUGUCCUCGAGCAGCACUGGAGCCAGACUCAGUUCCCGGAUCUUGCAGCCGAGGAGCCUCUCAAGCAUCCACAGCCCCCACCAGUGUGGGGACGGUGGAUCCUGUGGUGGACAUCCCCGGGGAUGUGACUGCCUGAUGGUGGCAGCAACAGCAGCAACAUCUGAGACCACGGAGUGGGGGUCUUUGGCAGAGACCCCAGGGCAGCUGAGGCAGCUGGGCUUCCUCCCAGCUCCAUCAGCCUUUGGGUCCAUGAGAAUCCCUUAUCCUUUACAGCCCUGCCCUGGCUCUGGGAAACUGGGGAUGGCCUCUGUGACCCCCCUUUGAGAGGUGAAGCCAGCUGGACUUCUGGGUCGGGUGGGGACUUGGAGAACUUUUCUGUCUUACAAGAGGAUUAUAAAAUGCACCAAUCAGCACUCUGUAGCUAGGAUUGUAAAAUGCACCAGUCAGUGUUCUGUGGCUAGCUAGAGGUUUGUAAAAUGGACCAAUCAGUGCUCUGUAAAAUGGACCAAUCAGCACUCUGUAAAAUGGACCAAUCUGCACUCUGUAAAAUGGACCAAUCAGCAGGAUGUGGGCGGGGACAAAUAAAAGAAUAAAACCUGGCCACCCCAGCCAGCAGCAGCAACCCACUUGGGUUCCCUUCCAUGGUGUGGAAGCUUUGUUCUUUAGCUCUUCACAAUAAAUCUUGCUGGUGCUAACUCUCUGGGUCCGUGACAUCUUCAAGAGCUGUAACACUCAUCACAAAAGUCCGCAGCUCCAUUCUUGAAGUCAGCGAGACCAAGAACCCACCAGAAGGAACCAACUCCAGACACACCCUGACGUGGGAUACCCCAUUUCCUGAGGCAUGGAGAGGCAUCACCCCAGUAAGUUGCCCAUGCCCUGUGCUGGCAGCCUCCCUUUUACCCCCAACCAUCCUUUGCUCUAGCUUCUGGCCCCAAAUUUGUCCAAGGAGCCCCCCAUUCAAAUCCUUUCCCUGCUGCCACGUGGCCUUCCCUGUCCCACAGCUUGCUCUGCAAGCCUCCAAUGUCUGAAGAUCUUCCAGUGUCACUCAUGGCCCCUUUAGUCUCAGCCCAGCCAUAAACUUCAAUGCAAAGGAUAAGUCUAGAUUGAUUUCACAGUUCUUUUAACAAGUGGACUUAAAAGCUAGUGGCAAUACAUUCCUUCUCCUCAGAGUUGAAGGCAAGUUCUCCCUGAAGCCUGGGUGACACAUGUCCUUUUCCUAAGACUGGGGAAGAGAAUUGGGAGUGGCAGCCAGUUCGGCAGGAAAUUUGUUAGCAGGGGAAGAAACUCAGAUGGGAGUGAGGAACUUCACAGGAAAAGUCUGGAGGAGCAUCCAAGGAUGAUCAACAUUUAUUUUAUGUGUGGGAAGCAAUGCGACUUUACUGUUAUUGACCCUUUACAAUAUCCCCUGUAAAUGUAUGUUUAGGGUUUUCUUCUGAAAAAGAAAGAAAUUGUUACUCAGCCAGUAAAUGAUACUUAAAGAGAGAAAGAGGGGGAAAAAAGGAAGGAAGGGAGAGAGAAAGUGGGAGUAGAUGAAAGUGAGGGCGAGAGAAAGAAAAAGAAAGGAAUUGUUAUUCAGCCAGUAAAAGAUACUUAAAAAGAGAGAAAGAAGGGGGGAAAAGAGGGAGGGUGGGUGAGUGUUGCGGGAAGACAGGGACCCCAAAUGGAGGGACCAGUUGAAGCCAUGGCAGAAGAACGUAGAUUGUGAAGAUUUCAUGGACAUUUAUUAGUUCCUCAAAUUAAUACUUUUAUAAUUUCUUAUGCCUGUCUUUACUGCAAUCUCUAAACAUAAAUUGUACAGAUUUCAUGGACACUUAUGACUUCCCCAAUCAAUACCCUUGUGAUUUCCUAUGCCUGUCUUUACUUUAAUCUCCUAAUCCUGUCAGCUGAGGAGGAUGUAUGUCACCUCAGGACCCUGUAAUAAUUGCAUUAAUGCACAAAUUGUACAGCAUGUAUGUUUGAGCAGUAUGAAAUCUGGGCACCUUGAAAAAAGAACAGGAUAAUAGCAAUUGUUCAGGGAAUAAGAGAGAUAACCUUAAACUCUGACCGCCGGUGAGCCGGGUGGAACAGAGCCAUAUUUCUCUUCUUUCAAAGGCAAAUGGGAGAAAUAUCACUGAAUUCUUUUUCUCAGCAUGGAACAUCCCUGGGAAAGAGAAUACACGCCUGGGGGUGGGUCUCUAAACUGGCUCCCUUGGGCGUGGCCGUCUUUUAUGGUGGAGGUUGUAGGGGUGAAAUAGACCCCAGUCUCCCAUAGCGCUCCCAGGCUUAUUAGGAAGAGGAAAUUCCCGCCUAAUAAUUUUGGUCAGACUGGUUGCUCUCAAAAUCCUGUUUCCUGAUAAGAUGUUAUCAAUGACAAUGGUGCCCGAAACUUCAUUAGCAAUUUUAAUUUCGCCCUGGUCCUGUGGUCCUGUAAUCUCACCCUGCCUCCACUUGCCUUGUGAUAUUCUAUUACCUUGUAAAGUACUUGAUGUCUGUGACCCACAUCUAUUCGCACACUCCCUCCCCUUUUGAAAAUCCCUAAUAAAAACUUGCUGGUUUUGUGGCUUGGAGGGCAUCACGGAACCUACCGACAUGUGAUGUCUCCC
ensembl:lncRNA novel transcript